CGCUUCGCGGCUUUUCGCCCCGAACUUCGUGGUGACUUCGAGCGGGCCGUGACCUGGGGUCUCCCGGCCGGGCGCGGGACUCGGAACCAGCCCGAGCGAGCGCCAAGGCCUCUGGGGCCCGGAGCGCGCGUGCUGAACCGGGCUUGCCCGGCCCGUCCCUUGCGCGUCCCGCCGUCCGGUCAGUCUGUUUCUGACGGUAUCUCCUGAAAGCCUUCCAGGUACUCAGCUAAGUGCUGUGACAAAACAAAGGUGAGAUGAGGGUAUUUUCUCGUUCUGCUCUUUGUCCAGCAUUUACACACCAGAGACAUCACUAAGCAGAUGGGCACUUCUUCCUUCCCUUCCCACUCCACAGUGCUGCUUUCCCAGUUUGCUUCCUCUUAAGUCUCCUAUGCCGGGAGGACUGUUCUAGUGGUUAGACGCCAUAAUCGGAGUGUUGUGACCUUCACAGUGUCGGCAACUCGACUCAAGGCAUUAUAUGAAGGUAAAAAUAAAUGUGUGUGCUAGGCAGCAGUGGCAAAUGCCUCAACUGGUCAUCAUGAAUUGUGUUACCCAGAGUGCCGAACUUUAAGACAGUGGUUCUCAACUUGGCUGCAUGUUAGAAUCAUCUGGGAACCUUAAAAAUAUGCUGAUCCCUGCAUCGCACCCCAGAAAUCUUGAUGUAAUGGGUCUGGGGUCUGGCUUCACCAUUGGGAGUUUUAAAACUCCCCAGAUACUUGUAAAAGCCAAAGUUGAGGAUCACUGCUUAGAGGGGAUCUCGGAAACUGAGAAAUACAUCUGGCAUUCCAGUUUGGGGGAGGGGCAGGGGUCUGAGUCCAGUGUCCCUAAGAUUGGAGACCGAGAGAAUCACCCCACCACCAGCCUGAAGGACUGCCUACCUGCAGGAAACAUCAGCUCUGGGCUGAGAGAGGCUGGAGGGACUUGAUGAAACUCCCUCCUCUGGGCUGGGACCCUGAAGAGCUGUGAUCUGGCAUUGGGAACGUAGAUUAUGAGGAGAAAUGGCUGGGGGUGGCUUCUGACCUGCUGGAGGUUACCUGAGUUUUUGUUUUACAUCAAGUUGUUAAGCUGUACAUUUAUGUUUUGUACACAUUUUUAUUUAUGUUUGUUUUAUUUCACCAAAAAAAGUCUAAAAAAAAGCUAUUGCUUGGCUUGAAAGUUCUCUUUAUCCAGGUCACUUUCUUAAAUUGAAAUAGAAGGAAAUACAUUUACUGUUGGGCUUCAUCAGUGAUCCCCAAAAGCUGGUCAUCAGGGUGUGGCCAACUGUGUAAAACAGCUGGGAAUUGUUAGAGGUUCAGAUUUCCAGCCUCCUGAGCGUCAAGCUCAGCAGUUCUGAGGUGGGGCCCAGGACCUGUGUUUUCAUUGAGCAACCAGGUGAGCCUGGUACUGGUCCUUGGAAACUUUGCCUGGUGCCCACCACGUGCUCCAUGGACAGCAGCAUCUCAUGAACAGAGGCCAGGUGGGGCACUUGGACUUUGAGACCCCUCUGGACCCGAAGAAUCCACAAUUCUGGGGAUAGCAGUCGGCAUGCAACUGGUUUAGAGCCAGCUUUGAGAAAAAGUAGAAUUUAUUUUUAUUGGUGUCUUAAUUACUUGAACUCAAGAAAGCAGAAAUCUCCAUCCAGCCCAACAGUUUGGAAAUAAAAUGUUAACACAAUAAGUUGCUUCCAAAACAUAAUUUUUUAGAAGAGAAUUUCAUAAUAAAAUGUCUCUCUUGUCCCUUGAAUAUGGAAAUAAUACAAAAUAUCUUCAUAUGACCAAAUCAUAAAGGCUAUUUCUGAACCAAAGUUCUAUAUAGAGACAAAUCUUGAAGGUUUUAUUAAGUCUUAACUACAACCCUUUAGAGAAAAUGUUCCCAAAACAAGGAAUGGCUAGAAAAGUCCCAAUUUGAAAAUUAUUCUAUUACAUUUUGUCACUGGCUAAUAUCUACCUCUAUAGCUAAUGACUGAUUUAUAAUACACCCUAUCAGUAAUUCCCAGCUCUUUAAGCUUCAGGAUCAAGAUAAUCUUAUACCAGGUUUUAUUUAUUUAUAUUAUAAUGUUCCUCCUAUUUGUGUUACAUUUCUCACCUCUACAGCAUAAGAACCUAUGUACAGUCUGUAUUCGUGGAUUAUGUCCACAAAAAACCCCACAUCUGUAGGUUAGCAGUUGUGUUAGUCUCUUCAGGCUGCUAUAACAAAAUACCACAGACUGGGGGCUUAUAAACAACAGAAGUUUAUUUCUUACAGCUCUGGAGGCUGGGAAGGCCAAGAUCAAGAAGCUGGCAGAUUUGGUGUCUGAGGAGGGCCCGCUUCUUGGUUCUUAGAUGGCCAUCUUGUUGCUAUGUCCCCACAUGGCAGAAGGAGCAAGAGAGCUCUCUGAGGCCUCUUUUAUAAGGGCACUAAUCCCAUUCAUAAGGGCUCCACCCUCAUGACCUAAUCAACUCCCAAAGGCCCCACAUCCUCAUACAAUCACCUUAUGGGUUAGGAUUUCAACACAUGAGUUUGGGGGAGACACAAACAUCCAGUCCUUGGCAGUGGUCAAGCAUACCUUUUGUUCCAUGCUGCAAAGAUGUGCAUGGAUGUCCAUUUCAGUCUUGUUUCUAAUAUAGACAAAUUGAAAUCAUCUUAAAUAUCCAUUAAUAAUGAUGAGAUAAAUUGAGUGGCUUGCCAUAUGCAGUCAUAACAAAAAAGAUGGGUCCCCGUGUACUGAUGGGGAGAUAUUCAUGUUAUAUUGGGAGGGAAAAAACAAGUACAAAGUAAUACGCACAGGUCCUCAAUAACUUGUGAGAUGCUUGGGUGGAAUUCCGAAUCUUUCACAUUUUAGGAACACUAUGCAAGACUUUCUCUCCAUGUGAUGGCAGAUGAGAUAACUGAGCCUCACACUGUCAAGAGGGACAGUGAUGAACAAAAUAUUUAACACAUUCGCUUAAAGACACUGGAGAGCCUAAACGUGGUGAGGAAUUACUGGACCAGGAUCCAGGAAGGACUGAGCCCAGGUUGGGAGCCACUUUUUCCCUGAGUGCAUUUUCAGGUUCCAAAGGAGAAAGUUGAGAGGCUGAGCCAUGUUUCUGACAGCCAGUUCUGAGUUAGUUGGUUUGGAGACACAUUUGAUAAGAUUCCUCGUGAGUCCUGCAGAUGGAGCAGCAGUUGCCCACAGAGCUGGCCAACUCAGUGACAUGCUUGUGUUGGGUUUUCUUUCUUCCCGUUUCACACCCACCCCCACCCCCGUUCCUCACACUUGUUCCUGGAAUCACAUUUCUAAGUAAGUUACCUGCAUGCAAGCCUUUAUAUCUGGCUCUGCUUUCAGGGCAAUCGAGACUAAGGCAGGAAGAGAGAAAAUAGAAUGUGAGAAGUCCCAACAUAUGAGAAGUUUGGGGUCCUCAAAAAAGAAGAGAGAACAGGCAAAAGCUUGAGAGAAUGAUUGAGAUAUUUCCAAAACUGGUUAAGAUGGACAUGAAGCCACAGAUCCUAUAAGCCCUGCAGGGUCCAAGCAGAAUAAAUAAAAACAAGUCAACAAAAAAAUAAUACUGUAAAAACCAAAAAUAACUGGUAUUCACAGGCCCAGAAAUGAUAUAUUUACUUUAAUUCUCUUAUGCAGCAGAAUUCCCAAAUGAUGAAAGAAAAACUUAUAUAACUCAGAUUAGAGGUCACGAAAACUCAAAUUGGCAUCACCAUCUCUCUUCCCCGCCAAAAAUCACUGUCUCGAGGCAUGCUUCCUCUUGGCCUGGAUUUAGGCUGCUGCUUACCCCUAGCCAAGAUACCAAUUCACAGAGCUACUCAGAGGUCAACAGCAAGGUGCCUUAAAUAAAUAAUAAAAAUAAAGCAAAAUACAGUGCUGUUGAUAUUCCUCAAAAGUCUCUCAGGAAGGGGCCACGCCUUUGGUUUGAGCAUGGGAGUCAAGGGUGCAGGCUCUGAAGUCAGACAGGCUCCAUCCAAACUCCCACUCUGCCACUUUUCCCACCUCUUCUGCAAAGUGGAGCAUCUGCCUUGGAAGGCGACGUGAGGAUGAAAUGGGGUGCUGGGAUCAAGAACCUGCUCAGAGCCUCCCUGUACACAGCGCUCAGCAGUGUAAGUUCUUGUCGUCAUUCCAAUGUUGGGUAUCAUGACGGCGGUUGACGCAGCAGGUGCACGUCAGCUCUGCGAGAACUAAAGGCUGUUAAUUCCACAGCCAAAUCUCCACUCUUCAGUCAGGCCAAGGGAAUGGGGUGAGAGUUCAUACUACCUUUUCUUCACCAUAACUCAGUGCCGCGGGUGACCCAAGAAUGAGCGUGUGCCUGAAGCAUCUCAUCUUAACUUUUAGUUAAAUGUUGUGCAGUCAAAUCAUGAACGUUAGCCAUGAUUUCUUUUUUCUAUUUAAUAGGAUAUAUUUCCCUUUGGGGAUUAAUCAUGUGGAAAAGCUGAAUUUUCGCUUUGAGUACAACUUUAUCAACUUUAUGUGGGAAUUAAUUUUUAAAAGGUACUGCAUACUGCUUCUUUCUAAAUCUGAAUAUAAUUUGCCUUCAGGACUUAUCGUUAUUAGGAAUGUAAUAUAUCACGCUGGCCUGGAGAUGUACUUAAUGUUCAGAUGAGCCUUCUCUGAAUCCCGGUCUUAUCCCUUUUCCAUGUGUUUCCAUACCAUCAGAUGUCUCAUCUCUGCUUUCACUAUAGCUGUCUGCUCUUCUCUCUGCUUCUCAGUGCCACUGACUUGGGUCUUUGUCAGGACAUUUCAAUUAUGGCUGAAAACCCAAAGCAGGAAGU